rnacentral:lncRNA from 1 species
AGUAUGAAAUUUUUUUUCUUAGCACCAAGUUCCUAUGGGCUAUGGCUAUCUCAUUCUGUAAUAAAGCAGUAAAAGUAGCAACACAAUAGGGGGGAAAAUUGAAGGGGAAAAGUCAGAAAUCAGAAAUAUAAAGACUAUAGCAGAAAAAUGAAUAAUAACAGCAACAACUGACCUCUCUGCAACCCCUAAAACAAUUAAACAAGUGUAUAGUGCUUUAUUUGGAUGUAUCUGACAUGUAAUACUCUUAUGUAAAGCUUUUCUUUAACCCUCUCUUUGCAUAACACUAAAUAUUUUUCAGCACCUUUUCAAGAAUAAUUCAUUAGAAAGAGCUGCUAAGCUACCACCUAUUGUCCAAACAAUAAAAGAGAUCAAAGAAAAGAAAAAUAAAGAAGACAUUCAAGCACAAGGUACGCAAAUCUAAUUAAAGCCUUGUCAUACAUAUGAAAAACAUUAAUUCAAGAACAUAUUUAUAUAUUUAUAUUUAAUAUAUUAAAAUAUAUUAUUAUAAGUAGUCUUAUGAGCAAUUAGAUGCUCUCUUUCUUCUUCAGUUUCAAGUACAAUCACUACUACUGCUACUACUUCUUCCACCACUUUUCUAGUACCACUACCACUACUAAAUGCUACUACUACUGUUUGCAUCAAAAGCAGAUUCAAGGUAUCCCCUGCAGAUCUACCCAAAUUUUUGUUCCAUCAAAGCAAACAGAAUUAAUAAUACCCACAAUAUGUAAUAACUUCAAAAGAAAAAAAAAAAAAAUACUGCUAACCCUAAAUAUGCUGCUAAAAUUCCAUAACUGAGUGCUGAAAAACGAAAGUAACUAAAAGUACCCACAUACAAGGUAAUGGCUAUGCUACUAUCAAGAAAAGGGUGUUUCUUGUUUUUUUAUUUUUUUAAAAAUUUUUUAAUUUUUUUUUAAUUUUGUUCAUAUUAAGUUGCACCUGGUGGUGGUGGCAAGGCUUGGAUUUGCUGCUGCGGUGGACGUUUACGCUUCUUUUUCUCAUAGCUGAUUCCUCUUGCUUUAGACUGCAAAUCUCUAACUUCUCGAAGAUAAAGCCUAACUGCACGAGCUCCAAAUGGGUUGGCUUCUGGUUUUCCUCCAUUUUCUUCAAAGGCUGCUCUGAGACGCCCGAUAAGGGCGUCGAGGCUACCCCAAGCUUGCCGGAGUGGACAUGGACAUGGUGCAG